rnacentral:rRNA from 1 species
AGAGUUUGAUCAUGGCUCAGGACGAACGCUGGCGGCGCGCCUAACACAUGCAAGUCGAACGAGAGAGAAGGAGCUUGCUUCUUCGAUCGAGUGGCGAACGGGUGAGUAACGCGUGAGGAACCCUGCCUCAAAGAGGGGGACAACAGUUGGAAACGACUGCUAAUACCGCAUAAGCCCACGGGUCGGCAUCGACCUGAGGGAAAAGGAGUGAUCCACUUUGAGAUGGCCUCGCGUCCGAUUAGCUAGUUGGUGAGGUAACGGCCACCAAGGCGACGAUCGGUAGCCGGACUGAGAGGUUGAACGGCCACAUUGGGACUGAGACACGGCCCAGACUCCUACGGGAGGCA